GUGCUUUUAGCGCAGUUGGCAGCGCACCGGGAUGUGACCCCGGGGGGCGCCGGUUCGAUCCCGGCAAAGCACCCCA
rnacentral:tRNA from 1 species